rnacentral:lncRNA from 15 species
GGGACCCUUGUUUUUUACCUUCUCCAUCUCACCCGAGAUCUCCGCGGCCCGUCACUGCCUUCAUCAGAGGUGAUGAAAAAGCACCCGUCUAAUCAUUUCUUUUUCCACGCGCCCUGGCCAUAGUGUGUGUGUGUGCCUGCACGCUGGCUGAGAUUAUUAACGGUUUAAUGGCUAACGAAGCCUGACAGGUGCUCCUCUCGCUGAGAUUAAGGACCGGUGGGUUAAUGACGGUGUGGGUGUGAUUGUCAUAACUCACAAUAAGGCCAUUAAAGUGAUAUUACUGGGAAAGUCUUCAGCUGAUAUGGGCUCAACUCUCCAAGAAGGUGGCAUUGGGCGGAGGGCUUCUGCCAUUUUUCAAACCGUUUUUUCUUCUCUUGCCUGAAGCUCAGUGUAAAUGGGCUUCAACUCAAGAAGAAUCUUUGGGAGAAACGAGUGACGAGACAAAGGAAGAUCUCCUGCUGCUCCCCUCACCCAUAAAAUACUGCUGUAAGGAUGCAAGAAGAGCACAUUCCUCCACUCAGAGGAGCACUGAUCACCAGUUGAAGCUGCAGGACAACAAGGAAGAGAGGAGGCUCAUGACAGCUCCCUAUGCAGUUCACUACUCCCCUCUGGUGGUCAGCGGGGGCAACUGCAGCGUUCAGGAGCCAGAGGAACAAAGGAAGUAAAGAUGAACAAUAGAGUCGACAGCAGAAAGCAGUCACAGACCCAGAGGCAAAGGUCCAGAGUGGAUGCUGUUGCAGUAUUGUUUCCCCAGUGGACAGUUUUUAUGAGCAUACAUAAGAUUUAUAGAAACACUGGCUAAUAUGGAUUAUUGUGGAGCAUUUCAGUCUACAAUGAUUAUUCCUUUGAUGACUUAAAAUAAAACAAUAGACAAUCAGGAUGCAUGAUAAUUGUGGUCAAACCUCAAGCUCACACAUAAAUAUAAAGUAAUUAUAAGGCAGCAAUUAGAGACUAUACAGGACAAUAGUCUGCUGUACUUUAUAUAACGAUAGUACAAUAAUCUACUGAAAACCUGAACAAACAACUAGAGGGGUUUGAAUAUAGGCCUGUAGAAUAAUUGUCAUGGUACUGAUGUAUAAAUAGUGGGAAACAUACACUGUUAUGAAUAUGUUUGGACGUCACUUGUCAGCUGGUAGCUAAGCCGCUGAAGAAUGAGUCAGUGAUUGUGAAGCAUGAAUGAAGCAGCUGAUGCUGAUCAGCUAAAGCAAACACUUUCCUCCAUCUUUUGUCAUGUAAAGCAUGUGUUCAGCCAACUACGCACAGUCCGUGUCAUUAUCUUACUUUUUUAAAACAUAAAAAAAGUGUGAUAUUUGUGUACAUGUUUUUUAUUUUGCAUAUUAACGACAUAAUUGCCUUUAAACACACACGCACUAGUAAAACUCUGUGUUUCUGAUUUUAGACAGAAGUAGACAAAAGCAAGCUUAGUAUUCUCAGCUGGCAAUCAAGUGAAACGACAGUGAAACAGUCACUUAUAGAUUUUAUUAGCUCUAGCGAGUUUGCCAACCAAGAGAAUAUUAGCUUUUUAU